CCUACGGGAGGCAGCAGUGAGGAAUAUUGGACAAUGGGCGCAAGCCUGAUCCAGCCAUGCCGCGUGCAGGAUGAAGCAUCUAUGGUGUGUAAACUGCUUUUGUACGAGAAGAAACACUCCGACGUGUCGGAGCUUGACGGUAUCGUAAGAAUAAGGAUCGGCUAACUCCGUGCCAGCAGCCGCGGUAAUACGGAGGAUCCAAGCGUUAUCCGGAAUCAUUGGGUUUAAAGGGUCCGUAGGCGGGCUUAUAAGUCAGUGGUGAAAUCUCCCGGCUCAACCGGGAAAUGGCCAUUGAUACUGUAGGUCUUGAAUUAUUAGGAAGUAACUAGAAUAUGUAGUGUAGCGGUGAAAUGCUUAGAGAUUACAUGGAAUACCAAUUGCGAAGGCAGGUUACUACUAAUUGAUUGACGCUGAUGGACGAAAGCGUGGGUAGCGAACAGGAUUAGAUACCCUGGUAGUCCACGCCGUAAACGAUGGAUACUAGCUGUUGGGGGUCAACUUCAGUGGCUAAGCGAAAGUGAUAAGUAUCCACCUGGGAGUACGUUCGCGAAGAAUGAAACUUAAAGGAAGUUGACGG
rnacentral:rRNA from 1 species